GAUUCUGGCUCAGGAUGAACGCUGGCGGCGUGCCUAACACAUGCAAGUCGAACGAAGCACAGCAGACGGAGAUUCGUCGAAGCCUGCUUUGACUUAGUGGCGGACGGGUGAGUAAUGUGUGAGCAACCUGCCUUUCAGAGGGGGACAACAGUUGGAAACGACUGCUAAUACCGCAUAACGUAUUUUGGUGGCAUCACCGGGAUACCAAAGGAGCAAUCCGCUGAAAGAUGGGCUCACAUCUGAUUAGCUUGUUGGUGAGGUAACGGCUCACCAAGGCUGCGAUCAGUAGCCGGACUGAGAGGUUGAACGGCCACAUUGGGACUGAGAUACGGCCCAGACUCCUACGGGAGGCAGCAGUGGGGAAUAUUGGGCAAUGGGCGAAAGCCUCGACCCAGCAACGCCGCGUGAAGGAAGAAGGUCUUCGGAUUGUAAACUUCUUUUAUGAGGGACGAAGGACGUGACGGUACCUCAUGAAUAAGCCACGGCUAACUACGUGCCAGCCGCGGC
rnacentral:rRNA from 1 species